CCUCCGUCCAAAAAAAAGUUCCAUGUUCAACGUUUGACCGUCUGUCUUAUUCGAAAAAAUUAUGAAAAAAAUUAAAAAGACAAGUCACGCACAAAAUAUUAAUCAUGUUUUAUCAUCUAACAACAAUGAAAAUACGAAUUAUAAAAAAAUUUCAUAUAAGACGGACAGUCAAAGUUGGACACGAAAACUCAGGGUUUGUCUUUUU
rnacentral:pre_miRNA from 1 species